rfam:Oryza glumipatula chromosome 10, whole genome shotgun sequence.
UUAAAAGGCAAACUCUGGUUUUCGUAUCCAAGUUUAACUAUCCAUCUUAUAUGAAAUUUUUUUAUAAUUCGUAUUUUCAUUAUUGUUAGAUGAUAAAACAUGAUUAAUAUUUUAUGUGUAACUUGUAUUUUUAAAUUAUUUUAUAAUUUUUUUAAAUAAGACGGACGGUCAAAUGUUGGACACGGAAAUCAGGGUUGGUGUUUUU